rnacentral:lncRNA from 1 species
GAGACCCCUUUUUCUAAGCUUCAGACAGGAGAGUUCAAAGAAACAGGGGUGAACAUUUGCACACAGCGCAUUCAUCUUCACAUUGACCCCCUGUGGGAUGCUGAUGAGCUGUGAAAAGCGCCUCCAUCCAGGCUUCACUCACUCCUUCGAGGAAGACCAUGGGCAGGAUGAGAAAGCCAGCCUCAGUGGGUUGACAGGGCCCCGUUUAGCCAGUCACACUGAACAGACACCUCUCUUCUUCAUGAAAUGCUGACUGAUAAUCAUUUGAGAGCACACAUUCAUGGGUCUUUCACUUCUAAGUUUCCUGGCUUGUUUACCUAUGUAGGAGGCACCAGGGUGAUCCACACUCACCUGCAAAGUGAGGAUGAGAAAAGACCUAGGGUAAGAUGAGAUAACACCUUUUAGGCCUAAAAGUGAAAUUUGUCCUGGCAAAAAUCAAUCAGUAACAGUCCAC